AGAAGAAAAAAAGAAGAAAAAUCAAGAAAAGCCAUAAUUAGAAAAAGAAAAAUUUUUUUUGGAAAAAAGAUAAAUUCACAUUUUUUUUCUUUUUUUCUUUUUUUUUUUCUAGUAAAAUUUUACUAAAAAAAAAAAGGGAAAAAAAAAUGAAUUUAAAAAUACAUUUAUUUUACACGACAUUAAUUUUUUUUUUUUUUUUUUUUUUUAUUUCUUCCUCUUCUCUAAAAACAAAAAGAAUAAAUAACCAAAAAAUUCAAUUUUAAAUGCUACCGAAAUACAAGUGG
rnacentral:ribozyme from 1 species